rfam:Myotis brandtii contig219483, whole genome shotgun sequence.
UGAAAGGUUUUUAUCAAAACCAACAGUAUUUUCAUACAUGAAUUU